rnacentral:rRNA from 1 species
CUGAACCAGCAACUUGGAAGAAUGUAUAGCGAAAGCUAUUUGUAUGGACUAUAGUAAUAUAUGUCCAGAUCUUCUAUAUCAAUGCAAAAUGAACGAUGUUUAAUAAAGUUCUAAGUGAAAAAAUGAUUAUGACAUUUUUCAUAUAAGUCUUGACCAAGUCAUGUGCCAGCGGUCGCGGUAAUACAUGGAAGACUAGUGUUAUUCAUCUUUAAUAGGUUUAAAGGGUACCUAGACGGUUAAUAAGGCCCUAAAUAAAAAGAACAGGGAACUAAUUAACUAGAGUUUUAUGUAAGAAGAUAGAAGGAGGAGAGUAGAGAUUCAAUUCUGUAAUUCCCUUUACGACUAUUUAAGGCGAAAGCAAUCUUUUAUGUAUAAACUGACGUUGAGGGACGAAGGCUUAGGUAGCGAACAGGAUUAGAUACCCUAGUAGUCUUAGCAGAAAAUUAUGAAUGUCAUAUAUAAGUAAAUAUUUAUAUAUAAAUGAAAGUGUAAGCAUUCCACCUUAAGAGUAAUGCGGCAACGCAUAAACUGAAAUCAUUAGACCGCUUUUGAAACCAGUAGUGAAGUAUGUUGUUUAAUUUGAUAAUCCACGGAAAACCUUACCACAAUUUGUAUAUAUGUAUACAUUACAUAUACAAGAGUUGCACGGCUGUCUUAAGUUAAUGUCGUGAGAUUUUGGUUAGUUCCAAUAAAUUGACGUAAACCCUUAUUUUAUUUAUAAAUAAAAUAGUUCUCCAUUAUAUUGGAUAAGAUAAUAGGGACUAAGAUAAGUCAUCAUGGCCCGAACAUUGUGGGCUACAGACGUGCCACAUAUUCUAUACAAAAAGAUG